rnacentral:rRNA from 1 species
ACGGGAGGCAGCAGUAAGGGAUAUUGGUCAAUGGGGGGUACCCUGAACCAGCCAUGCCGCGUGAGGGAUGAAGGCCCUACGGGUCGCAGACCUCUUUUGCCGGGGGAUAACGGGCCUCACUUGUGGGGCCGUGAAGUUACCCGGAGAAUAAGCAUCGGCUAACUCCGUGCCAGCAGCCGCGGUAAUACGGAGGAUGCGAGCGUUAUCCGGAUUUAUUGGGUUUAAAGGGUGCGCAGGCGGCACGUUAAGUCAGCGGUGAAAUGUCGGGGCUCAACCCGGGCACUGCCGUUGAAACUGGCGAGCUUGAGUACGGAUGAAGUCGGCGGAAUGUGAUGUGUAGCGGUGAAAUGCUUAGAUAUGUCACAGAACACCGAUUGCGAAGGCAGCUGACUAAUCCGCAACUGACGCUCAGGCACGAAAGCGUGGGGAUCGAACAGGAUUAGAUACCCUGGUA